rnacentral:rRNA from 1 species
UGUACACGCUGUGACUAGCAUAUCAAUAAGCGGAGGAAAAGAGGUACUACCUACGCUUAGGAUGUUGACAGCAGUAUAGACUGUACACGCUGUGACUAGCAUAUCAAUAAGCGGAGGAAAAGAAACUAACAAGGAUUCCCCUAGUAACGGCGAGUGAAGCGGGAAGAGCUCAAAUUUGAAAUCUUAAAGGGUUUCCCUUUACGAAUUGUAGUUUAAAGAAGUGUUUUCUGUUGAGGUUUUGGUAAAAGUUCUUUGGAAUAGGACAUCAUAGAGGGUGAGAAUCCCGUAUUUGACCUUUACUUUCAACUUUGUGAUACACUUUCAAAGAGUCGGAUUGUUUGGGAAUGCAGUCCAAAAUGGGUGGUAAAUUUCAUCUAAAGCUAAAUAUUGGCGAGAGACCGAUAGCGAACAAGUACCGUGAGGGAAAGAUGAAAAGAACUUUGAAAAGAGAGUUAAGCAGUACGUGAAAUUGUCAAAAGGGAAGCGUUUGACACCAGUGUUGUUUUUCUGAAAAUCAAUUAAAGAACUGUUUAUGCUAAGUUGUUUAGACUUUAUCAGCUAACUGUUUAGUUUUGAGCGUUUCUUUAAUGCACUUUUCAGUUAACAAGUCAACAUCAAUUUCUUUUGCUGUAAAAAAGCUUGAGGAAGGUGGCUUGAGAUUCGUCUUAAGUGUUUAUAGCCUCUUGCCUAUGCAGUCGGAGAGAUUGAGGUCUGCAGCGUAGAUCCUUCGGGGCUAAAUGCAUUUGUGCUAAGUUAUAGCAUUUCAUAGACAACUUGUUGACUAUGAUUUGUCUUGUAGCUUACUCGCUUAUGUUAUUUUACCUACGCUUAGGAUGUUGACAGCAGUAUAGACUGU